AACAAACGCUGGCGGCGUGCCUAAUACAUGCAAGUCGAACGGGAUAAGUUGUAGCAAUACGACUUUGAGAGUAGCGCACGGGUGUGUAACACGUAUGCAAUCUGCCCUUGUCUGUGGAAUAGCUCCUCGAAAGAGGAAUUAAUACCACAUAAAAUAGUGAGUAGGCAUCUACUUACUAUCAAAGCUCCGGCGGACAAGGAUGAGCAUGCGGCUGAUUAGGUAGUUGGUGAGGUAAUGGCUCACCAAGCCAACGAUCAGUAGGGGGUCUGAGAGGAUGUCCCCCCACACUGGUACUGAGACACGGACCAGACUCCUACGGGAGGCAGCAGUAGGGAAUAUUGGUCAAUGGGGGCAACCCUGAACCAGCCAUGCCGCGUGCAGGAUUAAGGCCCUAUGGGUCGUAAACUGCUUUUGUACGGGAAGAAAUCACAUUACGUGUAAUGUGUUGACGGUACCGUGAGAAUAAGGAUCGGCUAACUUCGUGCCAGCAGCCGCGGUAACAC
rnacentral:rRNA from 1 species